rnacentral:rRNA from 1 species
UACGUAGGGUGCAAGCGUUAAUCGGAAUUACUGGGCGUAAAGCGUGCGCAGGCGGUUUUGUAAAUCUGUCGUGAAAGCCCCGGGCUCAACCUGGGAAUUGCGAUGGAGACUGCAAGGCUUGAAUCUGGCAGAGGGGGGUAGAAUUCUACGUGUAGCAGUGAAAUGCGUAGAGAUGUGGAGGAACACCGAUGGCGAAGGCAGCCCCCUGGGUCAAGAUUGACGCUCAUGCACGAAAGCGUGGGGAGCAAACAGG